CAGUAGCCGCGGUAAUACGAAGGGUGCAAGCGUUAAUCGGAAUUACUGGGCGUAAAGCGUGCGUAGGCGGUUUGUUAAGUCUGCUGUGAAAUCCCCGGGCUCAACCUGGGAAUGGCAGUGGAUACUGGCAAGCUAGGGUGUGUCAGAGGAUGGUGGAAUUCCCGGUGUAGCGGUGAAAUGCGUAGAGAUCGGGAGGAACAUCAGUGGCGAAGGCGGCCAUCUGGGACAACACUGACGCUGAGGCACGAAAGCGUGGGGAGCAAACAGGAUUAGAUACCCCAGUAGUCCCUGUCUCUUAUAC
rnacentral:rRNA from 1 species